CCCGUCACACCAUGGGAGUGAGUUGCAAAAGAAGUAGGUAGCUUAACCUUCGGGAGGGCGCUUACCACUUUGUGAUUCAUGACUGGGGUGAAGUCGUAACAAGGUAACCGUAGGGGAACCUGCGGUUGGAUCACCUCCUUACCUUAAAGAAGC
rnacentral:rRNA from 1 species